CCUACGGGGGGCAGCAGUGAGGAAUAUUGGUCAAUGGGCGAGAGCCUGAACCAGCCAAGUCGCGUGAGGGAGGACGGCCCUACGGGUUGUAAACCUCUUUUGCCGGGGGACAAACGGCGGAACGCGUGCCGUCCUGAGGGUACCCGGAGUAACAGCAUCGGCUAACUCCGUGCCAGCAGCCGCGGUAAGACGGGGGAUGCGAGGGUUAUCCGGAUUGAGUGGGUUGAAAGGGAGCGUAGGCGGGAUGCCAAGUCAGCGGUCAAAUACGGGGGUUCAACCUGACUCCGCCGUGGAAACUGGCGUUCUUGAGUGGGCGAGAAGUACGCGGAAUGCGUGGUGUAGCGGUGAAAUGCAUAGAUAUCACGCAGAACCCCGAUGGCGAAGGCAGCGUACCGGCGCCCGACUGACGCUGAAGUACGAAAGCGUGGGUAUCGAACAGGAUUAGAUACCCGAGUAGUC
rnacentral:rRNA from 1 species